UUGGAGGGCAAGUCUGGUGCCAGCAGCCGCGGUAAUUCCAGCUCCAAUAGCGUAUAUUAAAGUUGUUGCAGUUAAAAAGCUCGUAGUUGAACUUCGGGAUCAAUUGAUUGGUCAUGCCGUUGGUAUGUACUGGUCAUAUUGGUUCUCACCUUCUAAGGAACCAUAAUGUCAUUAAUUUGAUGUUUUGGGGAAUUAGGACUGUUACCUUGAAAAAAUUAGAGUGUUUAAAGCAGGCUAACGCUUGAAUACAUUAGCAUGGAAUAAUGAAAUAGGACAUCGCAUUCUAUUUUGUUGGUUUCUAGGAUCGAUGUAAUGAUUAAUAGGGAUAGUUGGGGGCAUUAGUAUUCAAUUGUCAGAGGUGAAAUUCUUGGAUUUAUUGAAGACUAACUACUGCGAAAGCAUUUGCCAAGGAUGUUUUCAUUAAUCAAGAACGAAAGUUAGGGGAUCGAAGACGAUCAGAUACCGUCGUAGUCUUAACCAUAAACUAUGCCGAUUAGGGAUCGGAUGAUGUUGAUUUUUUAAUGACUCAUUCGGCGCCUUACGGGAAAC
rnacentral:rRNA from 1 species